CGGCCGCGGUAGCGGCGGGGGAGGGGUGCAGCGGAGGAGGGGAGGAGCCUGGCCCGGAGGCCGCCGCUGCCCGGACCGUGGGGCCCGUCUGGACCGGCCAAGCGCCCGGGACUCGCCUCGGCUCCGCAGAACCCGAACACCUCUUCCUCCAUGACCUUCGACACUGAUAAAAGUGGAAGAAACUGAGGCACGGGGAGAGAAAGGCAGCUGAGAAGAGAGGAAUGAGAAAUGCUCACCCUCCCCUAGUCAACCCCGUGAUGUUACCUGGAUGACAGCACACACUCCUUGGUCUCUUCACUGAAACCUAUGUCACGGAAAGACAUGGCCACACCUGGGGGAGUGACCUGCCGUGAGGAUGUAGGUGGACGUCAUGAAUGACAUACAAGCUGUACUUACCGGCAUGUGGAGCAGCAGGACUCUGAUGGGGAACAGGAGGACUCGCCUGCAGCGCGUGCCCGGCAGCAGCUAGAGGCAUUGCUCAACAAGACCAUGCGUAUUCGUAUGACAGACGGAAGGACACUAGUCGGCUGCUUCCUGUGCACCGAUCGUGACUGUAAUGUCAUCCUGGGC
rnacentral:lncRNA from 1 species